CCACCGCUCUCAAAGCUGGAGCUCGGUGCGAUUCGCUCCCCGGAUCUAAUAAUUCACCAGCACCGGGGCUUUUUAUAGGGUUUUAAUUUUAAUUUGGAAUUAUCUCAUCUUUUCUCAAUGUUAUGAGUGAAACGCGUUGGAAACGGACAAGUGCUAUCCAGGGGCCUCACUAGAUGGACGGCUGAGAUAUGCUUUCCGAGAGGCAACGGCGGGGUUUUUCCGAUUUGCAAAUUGUUAUAUGGUUCGUUGGGGCUGAGAGGAAGGGAGAAAGGAGGGGGGAGAUGCGGGAGGAGCAGAGGGAGACGAGGAGGAGGGCUCACAGCAGUUCCAAACCCGGCGAGGAGGUCGAAUCCGUCGAGUUAGUUCAGCAUCAAGUUGGGAGGACAGUGAUGCAGUCAUAGCACAUUCUAAUGAGUAUUCAGAAUGAUGUUACACUUUCUUAUCUGGUGACCUUGCGAGAAACACCUGGCUCUUGAAGUCUAUGAAACCUGAUCUAGACCACUUUUUUACAAAGUUAAGAAGCAUGAAAGCGAACCUAAAAGCGACGUAUCCUGAUGCCUUUCCAGAUGGUUUGACAACAAAGAUCCUGGAACAGACCUGACCUCAAAAAGUGCCUCCGCUGUUGGCGUCAGAGGUUAUAAUUAAAUUGGCUGUUUUGUUAUUUGCCCCCAUCUAGGUACGGACUUUAGAAGAGAUGAAGAGAUGACGCACAUGAGCACGGAUCCUCUAUGGUGUGCAGUUUGUACCCCAAAGUGAUGUGCAGCGCUUGAUGGUCACCAUCAGGAGAUGGAUGGUGAUUAAGAAAUGCAGCCUUACAUGGAUAGCCAUAUAUCUCUUGAUGGCUGCCUGCUCAGCACUCUAUGAUGCAAAGCACACACUGCAGAGAAUCCUAUCAUAUGUAUGUGAACAAGUGAGGCACAUUAGUCUGAUCAGACUGAUGCGCAUUCAAUAUAUCCUGGGGCUUAAUUGGUGCUCCAGGGCCGUGCAUGCUUCGCAAUUCAAUUUCUAUUACGUUCUAAGAUGUGAUUACGUACAGAUAUCAGUGACUUUACCGUAAUUCAGUGCAUUGAUUGAUGCAUAAA